rnacentral:rRNA from 1 species
UCCAGGGUGUAAACGCUGCGGGCUUGGUGUCGGGGGUCCUACGGGGACGUCCGGUGCCGGAGAGAAAUUGUUAAGCCUGCCGCUUGGGGAGUACGGUCGCAAGACUGAAACUUAAAGGAAUUGGCGGGAGAGCACCGCAACGGGAGGAGCGUGCGGUUCAAUUGGAUUCAACGCCGGACAACUCACCAGGGGCGACGGUUACAUGAAGGCCAAGCUGAUGACUUUGCCUGAUUUUCCGAGAGGUGGUGCAUGGCCGUCGUCAGUUCGUACCGUAGGGCGUUCUCUUAAGUGAGAUAACGAACGAGACCCUCGCUGCUAGUUGCAAACCCCUCCGCGAGGAGGGGUGCACAUUAUCGGGACCGCUGGCGCUAA